ensembl:lncRNA
CCAGGCCGACCGGUCCGGGAGGUGCAUUCAAGAUGCCGUAAUGCAGACCGAGUCUGGAGGAUGUUUUCAUGACCCUUGGCGGGAGUAUCAGCAGCUGGAGGAGACGCGAGGCCUGAGCAACAUCAGGGUUUGGGUUUCUGUUUGUUUUUAGGGUGAGAGAAACUUGAAUCGUGGUGGGAAGGAGCUCAUAGAGAAACAGAGGUUGCAGCUGGUUGGCCAAUCUACAGGAAACCAUGAAGAACAAGUAUCUCCCUCUUCUCUGAAAUCUCCAACGCCCUCCGGACCUUAAGCACGUGGCUCUUUGUCUGAUGCCUGAGCUGACACCACUGGUAACUGUAUUCGCCACAGGGACCACUUUUCCUGUUGACUGAGGGGACCCAGCCCUUGCCAUUCAAGAGUUGCAUCCCCCUGGCUGGGGGCACGUGGUGCUGGGGGACCCUGGAGACCUCCCUCCUGGCUCUGCACCGGCCCACAGGCCAGGGGACACUCCUAGUUUCUGGCACAGGUGUUCAGAGAGCGUCUGUGAGCCUGAGCAGAGGGCGGAGCUAAGACAGCAGAAGAGAACGGGGGACAGACAGACUGAGUCUUGAUUUCGUCGUCACCCACAAUCUCUCACGCUGCCAGACUUCUCAGCUCUGUGCAUCUCAAUCUCAGCUCUGGUCAACUGGAUUUAGCUUGAUCGCUAUCAUCUGCUGCAGAAGCGUCUGGACUGAGCAUUGUGCUCUGUGUUCGUGCCGUGGGUCUGGGCUCCAAGCUCCCCCACGUACACGUCCCCCGGCCCCUGGACGUCAUGGCAGGCGAUGCUCUUCUGAUGUCAACCUUGGCUACUCCUCAGCCUACAGCUUGUAUCCCUGUUGGCCUCCGUCUAAUUCUGGCUGCUCUGGGUAACAAUCAACACGAUCCAAGUUUAGCUGGUGUUACUGCUCUGUUGCCCGGGGAACUACAGGCAGACAGAGAAAGUUCACAGCUGCCUUGAGCAAAGUAUUCUCAUGUCUCUCAGAAC